rnacentral:rRNA from 1 species
GACGAACGCUGGCGGCGUGCUUAACACAUGCAAGUCGAACGGAAAGGCCCUGCUUUUGUGGGGUGCUCGAGUGGCGAACGGGUGAGUAACACGUGAGUAACCUGCCCUUGACUUUGGGAUAACUUCAGGAAACUGGGGCUAAUACAGGAUAGGAGCUCCUGCUGCAUGGCGGGGGUUGGAAAGUUUCGGCGGUUGGGGUUGGACUCGCGGCUUAUCAGCCUUUUGGUGGGGUAGCGGCUUACCAAGGCUUUGACGGGUAGCCGGCCUGAGAGGGUGACCGGCCACGUUGGGACUGGGAUACGGCCCAGACUCCUACGCGAGGCAGCGGUGGGGAUUAUUGCACAAUGGGCGGGAGCCUGAUGCAGCAACGCCGCGUGCGGGAUGACGGCCUUCGGGUUGUAUUCCGCUUUCGCCUGUGACGAAGCGUGAGUGACGGUAAUGGGUAAAGAAGCACCGGCUAACUACGUG